GCUAAACAUCUAGCCUAAUUUUUACGCAAGGGACCUCCCCCCCCCCCCCACGAACAAAACAUUUUUCUGCUUCAGUACAGGCGAUCGAAAAACUUCUUAGAGCUUUAACUAAAGUACCGCAAGGGAAAGAUGAAAUAUGAAUGAAAUAAGCUUAAGCACAAAAUAGCAGAGACUCAAACUCGUACCUUUUGCAUCAUGGUCUAGCAAGUCCCCAUCAAGCAGAGAGAACUCAAGUUUGAUCCCCCGAAACUAGACGAGCUACUUCAAAACAGCCUUUAGGGCCAACCCAUCUCUGUGGCAAAAGAGUGGGACGAUUUUUAAGUAGAAGUGAUAAGCCAAUCGAGCCUAGUGAUAGCUGGUUAUUCAAGAAAAGAAUUUUAGUUCUGCCUUAAGCUUCACCCUGAACAUAAACAACCCCCAAGCUUAAGAGUUAUUCAAAUAAGGCACAGCUUGUUUGAAAAAGGAGACAGCCUAAACCUUAGGGUAAGCCCUAUAAUCAAAUAAAGUAGGCCUGAAAGCAGCCACCUUCCAAAAAGCGUUAAAGCUUUAUUUCCCACCCCCAAAAAAUCCCAACCUUAACCACCAACCCAUUAUUACUAUUGAAUGAUUUCAUAACAUAUGAAAGCCAUCAUGCUAGAACUAGUAACAAGAAAAUGAAUUUCUCCAAAUUGCAUGUAAAAGCCAGAAUGGAUAGCCCACUGGCACUUAACGACCCUGAGCCUGCUAUAAUAACACAUCUAGAAAACCUUAUAAUUAAUACCGUUAACCUUACACCAGAGCACUUCUGGAAAGAUUUAAAGGAAAAGAAGGAACUCGGCAAAUCUUAGCCCCGCCUGUUUACCAAAAACAUCGCCUCUUGCUUGAAUAUAAGAGGUCUAGCCUGCCCAGUGACCCCCAUUCAACGGCCGCGUGAUUUUAAGCGCGCGAAGGUAGCAUAAUAAUUUGUUCUUUAAAUGAGGACUAGUAUCAACGGCAUCACGAGGGCCAUACUGUCUCCUUUCCCAAAUCAGUGAAACUAAUCUCCCUGUGAAAAAGCAGGGAUACAGCUAUAAGACGAGAAGACCCCAUAGAGCUUUAAACAUAGAGACAACCUGCAAAAAUAUAAACCUCAUAGCUUCACGCUAUGUCUGCUAGUUUUAGGUUGGGGUGACCACGGAGUAUAACACAACCUCCACAACAAAAGAAUCUUUAAUUCUAAUCCAAGAAGGACGCUUCUAAGAAUCAACACAUUGAUGCCCAAUGACCCGACUUUCGAUCAAUGAACCAAGUUACCUUGGGGAUAACAGCGCAAUCCAUUUUAAGAGCUCAUAUCGACAAAUGGGCUUACGACCUCGAUGUUGGAUCAGGGUAUCCCAGUGGUGCAGCCGCUACUAAAGGUUUGUUUGUUCAACAAUUAAAACC
rnacentral:rRNA from 1 species